AAAACUGAAUCCAUAAGAUCAUUGUGAUAAACAAGCAUCUAAUAAGCAUACCAAUUACAAGACCCAGACUGCUAGUCAAAUUUACUUAGGUCACCUAGCAAUUAUAUAACAGAGACAAGACAAAGAUUUCACCCUACUAAUGGCUUCAUGCACUGAUUUAAAAUAAUCAAACACUUAUUAUAGGAAACAGAAAUGCAUCAAAAUCUCUGUCCAAACUUCCAUUCAAUUAAAAUUUGAUUUUAAUGAUAGUGUAGAGAAGUUAGAACCUACGUAAUUUCAAAUCAAACAAAGGCAUCUUACAAUGUGAUAA
rnacentral:misc_RNA from 1 species